GACCCCGCACAAGUAGUGGAGCAUGUGGUUUAAUUCGAAGAUACGCGCAGAACCUUACCUACACUUGACAUGUUCGUCGCGACUUUAAGAGAUUAAAGUUUUCGGUUCGGCCGGACGAAACACAGGUGCUGCAUGGCUGUCGUCAGCUCGUGUCGUGAGAUGUUGGGUUAAGUCCCGCAACGAGCGCAACCCUCACUUUUAGUUGCCAUCAUUAAGUUGGACACUCUGAAAGAACUGCCAGUGAUAAGCUGGAGGAAGGUGGGGAUGACGUCAAGUCCUCAUGGCCCUUACGUGUUGGGCUACACACGUGCUACAAUGGUAUCUACAACAGGAAGCAAGACUGCGAAGUUAAGCAAAUCCUUAAAAGAUACCUCAGUUCGGAUUGCACUCUGCAACUCGAGUGCAUGAAGCUGGAAUUACUAGUAAUCGUGGAUCAGCGUGCCACGGUGAAUGCGUUCCCGGGUCUUGUACACACCGCCCGUCACAUCAUGGGAGUUGGUUCUACCUUAAGGCAAGGUUUCAAACCCUUGACCACGGUAUAGUCAGCGACUGGGGUGAAGUCGUAACAAGGUAGCCUAC
rnacentral:rRNA from 1 species